UGCAAGUCGAACGAUGAUGCCUAGCUUGCUGGGCGGAUUAGUGGCGAACGUGUUAGUAAUACGUGAGUAACCUGCCCUUGACUCUGGGAUAAGCCUGGGAAACUGGGUCUAAUACUGGAUACUACCGCUUGCCGCAUGGUGGGUGGUGGAAAGGGUUUUACUGGUUUUGGAUGGGCUCACGGCCUAUCAGCUUGUUGGUGGGGUAAUGGCUCACCAAGGCGACGACGGGUAGCCGGCCUGAGAGGGUGACCGGCCACACUGGGACUGAGACACGGCCCAGACUCCUACGGGAGGCAGCAGUGGGGAAUAUUGCACAAUGGGCGGAAGCCUGAUGCAGCGACGCCGCGUGAGGGAUGACGGCCUUCGGGUUGUAAACCUCUUUCAGUAGGGAAGAAGCGAGAGUGACGGUACCUGCAGAAGAAGCGCCGGCUAACUACGUGCCAGCAGCCGCGGUAAUACGUAGGGCGCAAGCGUUGUCCGGAAUUAUUGGGCGUAAAGAGCUC
rnacentral:rRNA from 1 species